rnacentral:rRNA from 1 species
GACGAACGCUGGCGGCGUGCUUAACACAUGCAAGUCGAACGGAAAGGCCCUGCUUUUGUGGGGUGCUCGAGUGGCGAACGGGUGAGUAACACGUGAGUAACCUGCCCUUGACUUUGGGAGAACUUCAGGAAACUGGGGCUAAUACCGGAUAGGAGCUCCUGCUGCAUGGUGGGGGUUGGAAAGUUUCGGCGGUUGGGGAUGGACUCGCGGCUUAUCAGCUUGUUGGUGGGGUAGUGGCUUACCAAGGCUUUGACGGGUAGCCGGCCUGAGAGGGUGAACGGCCACAUUGGGACUGAGAUACGGCCCAGACUCCUACGGGAGGCAGCAGUGGGGAAUAUUGCACAAUGGGCGGAAGCCUGAUGCAGCAACGCCGCGUGCGGGAUGACGGCCUUCGGGUUAUAAACCGCUUUCGCCUGUGACGAAGCGUGAGUGACGGUAAUGGGUAAAGAAGCACCGGCUAACUACGUG